rnacentral:rRNA from 1 species
CCUACGGGGGGCUGCAGUGGGGAAUAUUGGACAAUGGGGGUAACCCUGAUCCAGCCAUGCCGCGUGUGUGAAGAAGGCCCUCGGGUUGUAAAGCACUUUCAGUGAGGAAGAACGCCUGGUGGUUAAUACCCAUCAGGAAAGACAUCACUCACAGAAGAAGCACCGGCUAACUCCGUGCCAGCAGCCGCGGUAAUACGGAGGGUGCGAGCGUUAAUCGGAAUUACUGGGCGUAAAGCGCGCGUAGGUGGCUUGAUAAGCCGGUUGUGAAAGCCCCGGGCUCAACCUGGGAACGGCAUCCGGAACUGUCAAGCUAGAGUGCAGGAGAGGAAGGUAGAAUUCCCGGUGUAGCGGUGAAAUGCGUAGAGAUCGGGAGGAAUACCAGUGGCGAAGGCGGCCUUCUGGACUGACACUGACACUGAGGUGCGAAAGCGUGGGUAGCAAACAGGAUUAGAUACCCCAGUAGUC